UCACUUCCUAUUCACGCAAAAGCGCUUAUAUGGAAUUUGUCCGUUUCGGCGGACUAUGGUGAUAAAUGAUGAUGUGUAAUAGAUGCAGCGGACCCGGGGGCGGUACCCGGCGGCUCCACCAUAUCCCUUGUUUGAUCAAGGGCUUUGACGGGGCCGAACUAGGAUCGACGUGUGUUCAAAGACAUUGUUUUUACCCGGCAUGAAUAAGCCGAUAAAUGGUUCAAAACCAAUAGGUGCAAACGAUAACGAAGCACUUGCUCUCGCAGCAUAAUCACAAGGGCCUUCGCGGUCCUAGAUUAGACUAACAGAACGGGGUCAUGAGCCGGACCCGGCAACAGAACCGGAAUACA
rnacentral:tmRNA from 1 species